GAAGCGUCUGGAAAGGCGCGCGAUACAGGGUGACAGCCCCGUACACAAAAAUGCACAUACUGUGAGCUCGAUGAGUAGGGCGGGACACGUGGUAUCCUGUCUGAAUAUGGGGGGACCAUCCUCCAAGGCUAAAUACUCCUGACUGACCGAUAGUGAACCAGUACCGUGAGGGAAAGGCGAAAAGAACCCCGGCGAGGGGAGUGAAAAAGAACCUGAAACCGUGUACGUACAAGCAGUGGGAGCACGCUUAGGCGUGUGACUGCGUACCUUUUG
rnacentral:rRNA from 1 species